rnacentral:rRNA from 1 species
AUCGAACGCUGGCGGCAGGCUUAACACAUGCAAGUCGAGCGGGCCUUUCGGGGUCAGCGGCGGACGGGUGAGUAACGCGUUGGAACGUGCCCUCUGGUUCGGAAUAACUCAGGGAAACUUGAGCUAAUACCGGAUACGCCCUUUUGGGGAAAGGCUUGCUGCCGGAGGAUCGGCCCGCGUCUGAUUAGCUAGUUGGUGAGGUAACGGCUCACCAAGGCGACGAUCAGUAGCUGGUCUGAGAGGAUGAUCAGCCACACUGGGACUGAGACACGGCCCAGACUCCUACGGGAGGCAGCAGUGGGGAAUAUUGGACAAGGGGCGCAAGCAUGAUCCAGCCAUGCCGCGUGAGUGAUGAAGGCCUUAGGGUUGUAAAGCUCUUUUAUCCGGGACGAUAAUGACGGUACCGGAGGAAUAAGCCCCGGCUAACUUCGUG